rnacentral:lncRNA from 1 species
CAGCCCUUUUCUAACUUUUCUUAAAAAUGGGAACAAGGUGCUACUGUUAAAUGAACAGUAAACUAAUCCGAAGUUAUUGUGCAAGAGAAGAAAAUGGCGUCAUUUUUUGUACCCUUUUCUUUUUUAUUAUUUUCGGCUGAUAGCAUACCUAAUACCAUACCAUUUCCAUUUUUUUCCCUCCAACGACCAUUCCUAUGCUUUUCUUCUGACUUGAUUUGAUGGAGGCGAAAGAAAACCAUCGAGAAAAUUAAACAAUGACUACGCCACUGUUCUUCAUCCUUUUGCGGUUUGGGUCGACACUCUUUCAUCUGGGUAUGAUUUGGUGCACGUUUUCAUAUUCAUAUGCUCAAAUAUUUUUCUAAUUAUUGCUCUAUAUGAAUAUUAUUUCUUUUGUAGGUUGUUCCAAAUAUUCAAAGUGAGUUUCCGAUUUAUGGAUUUAAUUGGUUUUAUUUGUUAAUUUUUUGUUGUAAUGGUAGUUUUGUGCAUUUAUUAUUGUUACCAGAAGCAUCCAGUGAAGUUUGCUGGGG